GUGAGGAAUAUUGCGCAAUGGAGGCAACUCUGACGCAGCCAUGCCGCGUGCAGGAAGAAGGCGCUACGCGUUGUAAACUGCUUUUAACCGGGAAGAAACCCCAGGACGUGUCCUGGGUUGACGGUACCGGAGGAAUAAGCACCGGCUAACUUCGUGCCAGCAGCCGCGGUAAUACGAAGGGUGCAAGCGUUAUCCGGAUUCAUUGGGUUUAAAGGGUGCGUAGGCGGAGCGUUAAGUCAGUGGUGAAAUCCUGCAGCUUAACUGUAGACUUGCCAUUGAUACUGGCGCUCUUGAGUGCGCUUGAAGUGGGCGGAAUGUGCCGUGUAGCGGUGAAAUGCUUAGAUAUGGCACAGAACACCAAUUGCGAAGGCAGCUCACUAAGGCGAUACUGACGCUGAGGCACGAAAGCGUGGGGAGCAAACAGGAUUAGAUACCCCUGUAGUCA
rnacentral:rRNA from 1 species